AUGCUCAUGAAGGACUACUUCGCCGAGGUACCGACAUAUCUGGCUUAUCUCUUUCGUAGGCAAUAUAGAAUGCGUAGGUCACUUUUCAUGCGCAUCGUCGAGGCUUGCGAGCAAAAUUGCCGAUUUUUCACUCGACGUAGAAAUGCCGCAGGUUUGAUUGGCUUCAGUGCAUAUAAAAAUAUAUCGACGGUGAUGAUAGUGAUUGCAUAUGGUGUUCUCGCUGACUAUGCGGAUGAAUAUCUUCGGAUUGGAGAAGAUACCUGA
rnacentral:rRNA from 1 species